rnacentral:rRNA from 1 species
GACGAACGCUGGCGGCGUGCUUAACACAUGCAAGUCGAACGGAAAGGCCCUGCUUUUGUGGGGUGCUCGAGUGGCGAACGGGUGAGUAACACGUGAGUAACCUGCCCUUGACUUUGGGAUAACUUCAGGAAACUGGGGCUAAUACCGGAUAGGAGAUCCUGCUGCAUGGUGGGGGUUGGAAAGUUUCGGCGGUUUGGGAUGGACUCGCGGCUUAUCAGCUUGUUGGUGGGGUAGUGGCUUACCAAGGCUUUGACGGGUAGCCGGCCUGAGAGGGUGACCGGCGACAAUGGGACUGAGAUACGGCGCAGACUCCUACGGGAGGCAGCAGUCGGGAAUAUUGCACAACGGGCGGAAGCCUGUUGCAGCAACGCCGCGUGCGGAAUGCCGGCCUACGGGUUGUAAACCGCUUUCGCCUGUGACGAAGCGUGAGUGACGGUAAUGGGUAAAGAAGCACCGGCUAACUACGUG